rnacentral:rRNA from 1 species
GACGAAGGGGGCUAGCGUUGUUCGGAAUUACUGGGCGUAAAGCGCGUGUAGGCGGUUAUCCAAGUCAGGUGUGAAAGCCUUGAGCUCAACUCAAGAAAUGCACUUGGUACUGGGUGACUAGAGGACCGGAGAGGAUAGUGGAAUUCCCAGUGUAGUGGUGAAAUACGUAGAGAUUGGGAAGAACACCAGUGGCGAAGGCGGCUAUCUGGACGGUUUCUGACGCUAAGACGCGAAAGCGUGGGGAGCAAACAGGG